GAAAGCGUAACAGCUCACUGAUCUAGCGAUUCUGCGCUGAAAAUAUAACGGGGCUAAGAUACGCACCGAAGCUUUAGAUUCGUAUUUAUACGAGUGGUAGGAGAGCGUUCCAAACAGCGUUGAAGGUAUACCGGUGAGGAGUGCUGGAGCGUUUGGAAGUGAGCAAGCAGGCAUGAGUAGCGAUAAAAGCAGUGAGAAUCUGCUUCGCCGUAAACCCAAGGUUUCCUACGCGAUGCUCGUCAUCGUAGGGUUAGUCGGGACCUAAGUCGAGUCCGAAAGGGGUAGACGAUGGCAAAUCGGUUAAUAUUCCGAUACCGACAAUUGUUCGUUUGAGUGAUGGGGGGACGCAUAGAGUUAAUCGAGCUCACUGAUGGAAUAGUGGGUCGAAGGACGUAGGCUGAAACACAGGCAAAUCCGUGUUUCGUUAGGCCGAGAUCUUACAGGCUCUUCAAGGACUUCGGUCUGCGAGGAGAAUCGAUGAUACUGUCG
rnacentral:rRNA from 1 species